GAUGAACGCUAGCGGCAGGCUUAAUACAUGCAAGUCGAGGGACAGCACAGGUAGCAAUACUGGGUGGUAACCGGCAAACGGGUGCGGAACACGUACACAACCUUCCUUUAAGUGGGGGAUAGCCCAGAGAAAUUUGGAUUAAUACCCCGUAAUAUAGUUGAAUGGCAUCAUUUGAUUAUUAUAGCUACGGCGCUUAAUGAUGGGUGUGCGGCUGAUUAGAUAGUUGGCGGGGUAACGGCCCACCAAGUCUACGAUCAGUAGCUGAUGCGAGAGCAUGAUAAGCCACACGGGCACUGAGACACGGGCCCGACUCCUACGGGAGGCAGCAGUAAGGAAUAUUGGUCAAUGGACGCAAGUCUGAACCAGCCAUGCCGCGUGAAGGAUUAAGGUCCUCUGGAUUGUAAACUUCUUUUAUUUGGGACGAAAAAGGGCCUUUCUAGGUCAACUGACGGUACCAGAUGAAUAAGCACCGGCUAACUCCGUGCCAGCCGCCGCAGUAAUAC
rnacentral:rRNA from 1 species